rnacentral:rRNA from 1 species
AGGGUCGUCAGAAACUGUUUUACUGGAGGCAGUGAGAGGGGUGCGGAAUUCUCGGUGGAGUGGUGGAAUACGUAGAUAUCGGGAGGAACAUCAGUGGCGAAGGCGGCACCCUGGCACUGACCUGACGCUCAUGAGCGAAAGCGUGGGUAGCGAACGGGAUUAGAUACCCCGGUAGUCCACGCUGUAAACGAUGAGUACUAGGCGUAGGUAGCUACAGUUAUCUGUGCCGAAGCUAACGCGAUAAGUACUCCGCCUGGGGACUACGGCCGCAAGGCUAAAACUCAAAGGAAUUGACGGGGACCCGCACAAGCAGCGGAGCGUGUUGUUUAAUUCGAUGUAACGCGAAGAACCUUACCUGGGUUUGACAUGUGCGUAGUAGUGAAGCGAAAGCGGAACGACCCUUCGGGGGGCGUACACAGGUGUUGCAUGGCUGUCGUCAGCUCGUGUCGUGAGAUGUUGGGUUAAGUCCCGCAACGAGCGCAACCCUCGUCGUUAGUUACAAGUGUCUAGCGAGACUGCCGGUUAUACACCGGAGGAAGGUGAGGACGAUGUCAAGUCAGCAUGACCCUUAUAUCCAGGGCUACUAACACGCUACAAUGGGCCGUACAAUGGGCAGCCAAAGAGCAAUCUGGAGCAAAUCCCACCAAAACGGUUCGUAGUUCGGAUUGCAGGCUGCAACUCGCCUGCAUGAAGUCGGAGUUGCUAGUAAACGCAGGUCAGCCAUACUGCGUUGAAUACCGUUCCCGGGUCUUGUACACACCGCCCGUCAAGUCAUGGAAGUUGGUAACACCUGAAGUCGGUGACCUAACCGCAAGGAAGGAGCUGCCUAGGGUGGGACUGAUGAC